GCGUUGUCCGGAUUUAUUGGGCGUAAAGAGCGUGUAGGCGGCUAGGUAGGUCCGUUGUGAAAACUCGAGGCUCAACCUCGAGACGUCGAUGGAAACCAUCUGGCUAGAGUCCGGAAGAGGAGAGUGGAAUUCCUGGUGUAGCGGUGAAAUGCGCAGAUAUCAGGAAGAACACCCGUGGCGAAGGCGGCUCUCUGGGACGUGACUGACGCUGAGACGCGAAAGCGUG
rnacentral:rRNA from 1 species